rnacentral:rRNA from 1 species
GACGAACGCUGGCGGCGUGCUUAACACAUGCAAGUCGAACGAGAUCCCGACCGAGCGAAUCUUCGGAAGAGCGAGGGAGGGUGAAAGUGGCGAACGGGCGAGUAACGCGUGGGCAAUCUGCCCUUCACAGGGGGAUAACACCGGGAAACCGGUGCUAAUACCGCAUAAACCGGCAGCACCGCAUGGUGCAACCGGCAAAGGAGUAAAAUCCGGUGAAGGAUGGGCCCGCGUCCAAUUAGCUAGUUGGUGAGGUAACGGCCCACCAAGGCGACGAUUGGUAGCCGGGCUGAGAGGCCGAUCGGCCGCAUUGGGACUGAGACACGGCCCAGACUCCUACGGGAGGCAGCAGUGGGGGAUAUUGCGCAAUGGGGGAAACCCUGACGCAGCGACGCCGCGUGAAGGAUGAAGGUUUUCGGAUCGUAAACUUCUUUGACCGGGGACGAAGAAAUGACGGUACCCGGGGAACAAGCCGCGGCUAACUACGUG